rnacentral:lncRNA from 10 species
CAUGGGUGUGGAUCCAUCAUGAAUAAAUUAAUGCCUUUGCUGUUGGUGGGGGCAGGGAGCAUGGUACAGGGGUGACUGAGUUCCUGCUUUGUUAGUUCCCACUGAAACUGAUUGACAAAAAGGGCCUGGCACCUCUCUCUUCUCUCUCUUUCUCUCUCUCACCAUGUGAUCUAUGCAUGCCUGUUCCCGUCUGCUUGCACUAAGAAUGGAAACAGCCUAAGUUCCUCACCAGAAGCAGAGGCUGGCACCAUGUUUGUUAUGCAGCCUGCAGAACCAGAAAUCAUGGGAAAAACUGCCCAUUUCUGUUUUGUCCACUUUGCUUUGGGAAGUGAGAGCUAUAGUCAUUAUCACCACAUCCCCUGGCAUCCAAUUCCACAUUCUACCUCAGAAGUUAUUUGGAGGAAUCCAAGGACUUAGAUAUUUUACCAAUGUCUCUGGUGAUUUUUAUAUCGGUGGCCCAUGGGUGUUGACCUAUGAAACUGCUCUGCAGCAGAUAUUGAGAAAUAGGAGUUCAGGACAAUGAUCUCUGACCUUGCCACUAAGAGUAAAAAAAUGUGCUGAACACCUUUACUGGGAUACUAGUCACUGAUUAAUAAUUCAAUUCCAGCUUUCCUGGAAGCCAGAAGUCAAAAUAUACUUGGGAUUUCUAUAAAUAUUUUUUAAUUAUGACCAUCGAACUCCAAGUACUUCAGAUUUGGAACUCGGACUGCUUUCCUUGCUCCUCAGCCUGCAGAUGGCCUAUUGUGGGACCUUGUGAUUAUGUAGUGAGACGAGCAUGAGUGGAGCAGGAGACGGCUGUCCCCCACCCACAAGGAAUAUCAGAUGAUGGUUCAGCGAUCAUCACAUUGCCUCUCUGAAAGUGAUAAAUUGGCAGCUGGCACCAGGGAGAGGCUAUUUCCUGAUGGCCCACACCUGUUGCACUAAGAUGUUAAUCGAAUGCAGAUUCCAGGGAGAAACAACUUCCUGGGCAUGUGCGUAAGAGACAAAAUGGCAGGUAUGACCUUCUGGGGACACUCCACCAGAAAAGGGAAGAAAACCUCAGAUGGGCAUGCAUAUAACUUCCUAAACACACUGCUCACACUCUCCUCCCAAGGGUAAGGAGGGCACUGCACAUGCAGGCAGCCCAUCCUAAGGGAAGCAUCCUGGGAAAGGGGUCAGUCUAUAUGGUUCUGGGAUCAAGAUUAAACACCACAUUAGACCUUCAAGUUGCCCACUUGGGUCUCUUCUAUGUGUAUUUUUCUUUCCUUUCUUUUCUGCUCUAAAGCUUUUUUAAAUAAACAUACACAUCCCUCCUCUGAAACUUGCCUUGGUCUCUUUUUCUGCCAUAUGCAACUCAGUCAAAUUAUUUCUUCUGAGGAGGAAAAAAUUGAGGUAGCUGCAUUCCCAUACAGAUUCACCAUCGGUAACUCAGAUACCUUCUACUGGCCAUAUGUUUGGUGUUCUAUUCAAGAAAUAAUUGCUAAAGCCAAUGUCUUAAAGUGUUUUUCUUAUGUUUUUCUUCUAAGAGUUUUACAGUUUCAGGUCUUACACUUAAGUAUUUAAUUAAUUUGAGUUGAUUUUAUGCAUGGUGUAGGAUGUGUGUAAUAUUCAGUUUUUCUAACACUAUUUGUUGAAGAGACUAUUCUUUUUCCACUGUGUAUCCUUAGAAGCAUUGCUGAAGUGUUGUUG